rnacentral:rRNA from 1 species
GAUGAACGCUGGCGGCGUGCCUAAUACAUGCAAGUAGAACGCUGAAGCUUGGUGCUUGCACCGAGCGGAUGAGUUGCGAACGGGUGAGUAACGCGUAGGUAACCUGCCUCUUAGCGGGGGAUAGCUAUUGGAAACGAUAGCUAAUACCGCAUAAAAGUCGAUAUCGCAUGAUGUUGAUUUGAAAGGUGCAAUUGCAUCACUAAGAGAUGGACCUGCGUUGUAUUAGCUAGUUGGUGAGGUAACGGCUCACCAAGGCGACGAUACAUAGCCGACCUGAGAGGGUGAUCGGCCACACUGGGACUGAGACACGGCCCAGACUCCUACGGGAGGCAGCAGUAGGGAAUCUUCGGCAAUGGGGGCAACCCUGACCGAGCAACGCCGCGUGAGUGAAGAAGGUUUUCGGAUCGUAAAGCUCUGUUGUAAGAGAAGAACGAGUGUGAGAGUGGAAAGUUCACACUGUGACGGUAACUUACCAGAAAGGGACGGCUAACUACGUGCCAGCAGCCGCGGUAAUACGUAGGUCCCGAGCGUUAUCCGGAUUUAUUGGGCGUAAAGCGAGCGCAGGCGGUUAGAUAAGUCUGAAGUUAAGGGCUGUGGCUUAACCAUAGUACGCUUUGGAAACUGUUUAACUUGAGUGCAGAAGGGGAGAGUGGAAUUCCAUGUGUAGCGGUGAAAUGCGUAGAUAUAUGGAGGAACACCGGUGGCGAAAGCGGCUCUCUGGUCUGUAACUGACGCUGAGGCUCGAAAGCGUGGGGAGCAAACAGG